rnacentral:misc_RNA from 1 species
AAGAGACGUUGCCCUUCGGGGUAUACCUCCCACCCUUCGUUUAUUAUACCUUUGUUGCUUUGGCGGGCCCGUCCUCGGACCACCGGCUUCUGCUGGUCAGUGCCCGCCAGAGGACCUAAAACUCUGUUUGUUAAUAUUGUCUGAGUACUAUAUAAUAGUUA